GAUGAACGCUGGCGGCGUGCCUAAUACAUGCAAGUCGAGCGAACGGACGAGAAGCUUGCUUCUCUGAUGUUAGCGGCGGACGGGUGAGUAACACGUGGAUAACCUACCUAUAAGACUGGGAUAACUUCGGGAAACCGGAGCUAAUACCGGAUAAUAUUUUGAACCGCAUGGUUCAAAAGUGAAAGACGGUCUUGCUUUCACUUAUAGAUUGAUCCGCGCUGCAUUAGCUAGUUGGUAAGGUAACGGCUUACCAAGGCAACGAUGCAUAGCCGACCUGAGAGGGUGAUCGGCCACACUGUAACUGAGACACGGUCCAGACUCCUACGGGAGGCAGCAGUAGAGAAUCUUCCGCAAUGGGCGAAAGCCUGACGGAGCAACGCCGCGUGAGUGAUGAAGGUCUUCGGAUCGUAAAACUCUGUUAUUAGGGAAGUACAUAUGUGUAAGUACCUGUGCACAUCUUGACGGUACCUAAUCAGAAAGCCACGGCUAACUACGUG
rnacentral:rRNA from 1 species